AGACAUGACUGAGUGAUGAUAUUAUUUGUUCCAUGCCUUUUUCGUCAUCAGUGUUGGUCAAUGUAAAAACUCUGAGUGUUUAUAUCGUUUCUUGUCUUUUUCAGGACAAGCCUCAGCCGCCACCUGAGGGCCGUCUUCCUGAUGCCACCAAGGGUUCUAACCACCUGAGGCAAGUCUUUGGCAAGCAGAUGGGUUUGAGUGAUCAGGACAUCGUUGCCCUCUCUGGUGGCCACACCUUGGGAAGGUGCCACAAAGAGCGGUCUGGUUUUGAGGGGGCCUGGACUACGAACCCUUUGGUCUUUGACAACUCUUACUUCAAGGAACUUCUGAGUGGUGACAAGGAGGGCCUUCUUCAGCUCCCAAGUGACAAAGCCCUGCUGAGCGACCCUGUCUUCCGCCCUCUUGUGGAGAAAUAUGCUGCAGAUGAGAAGGCAUUCUUUGAUGACUACAAAGAGGCCCACCUCAAGCUCUCCGAACUGGGGUAUGCUGAUGCUUAAAUGGCCCAUAUCCUGGAGCGGGAUACAAACUGCUGCCUGUAUGGACUCGUGCGAUCUUUUGCAUUUGGAUU